CACUCCUACGGGAGGCAGCAGUGGGGAAUAUUGCACAAUGGGGGAAACCCUGAUGCAGCCAUGCCGCGUGUGUGAAGAAGGCCUUCGGGUUGUAAAGCACUUUCAGUAGGGAGGAAGGUAGUGUAGUUAACACCUGCAUUAUUUGACGUUACCUACAGAAGAAGCACCGGCUAACUCCGUGCCAGCAGCCGCGGUAAUACGGAGGGUGCGAGCGUUAAUCGGAAUUACUGGGCGUAAAGCGCAUGCAGGCGGCCUGUUAAGUCAGAUGUGAAAGCCCGGGGCUUAACCUCGGAAUUGCAUUUGAAACUGGCAGGCUAGAGUCUUGUAGAGGGGGUAGAAUUUCAGGUGUAGCGGUGAAAAUGCGUAGAGAUCUGAAGGAAUACCAGUGGCGAAGGCGGCCCCCCUGGACAAAGACUGACGCUCAGAUGCGAAAGCGUGGGGAGCAAACAGGAUUAGAUACCCUGGUAG
rnacentral:rRNA from 1 species